CUGGGGAAUCAAACGGGCCAUAAAUCUAACCCAUGCCCGGGCCCUUCUGCGGAUUCGGGUGCUCUGACAAAACGGAGAUUUGCAGACCUAGUCCGGUUCUUUAGGUCCUCAACUUUAUCCAUUAGCUGAAGACCUGACCACCGAGGCGGUGUCAUUGACCACGAUCAACAUCAUUAAGUGGCACUUGUGUGGCUCGGAAAAAGAGGGGACAUUAUAGAUCUAUGGGUUAAUGCAACCACAUGGAUAAUGACAACAGGAAAAUGAAAGAUCACUUCUAGUGGAAGAUAAUUAUUAAUAAUUAGUGAAUCACCAGUGAGCCAAAUAUGACACCCACAGCACGCUUCCCACUAUGCUAAGUAUUCAAAAAAACGUGCAUAGAUCAAAUAUGUGGUUUAUGUCUGUAGCUUGUAUGCUGUGAAGGGUAUAAUAAGUCAAAGUGUGGACCCAGGGCCACAAAACAAAACCAUUUGGUAGAUAAUGAAUUCAAAUGAUCAAUGUUAACAAUGCUUUGUGCUAAAAAGUUUAAGGUAAAAUGUAUUAAAUAAAUUAUGAAAGAACUUAAA